UACGAAGGGUGCAAGCGUUACUCGGAAUUACUGGGCGUAAAGCGCACGUAGGCGGCUUUGCAAGUUAGAGGUGAAAGCCCGGGGCUCAACUCCGGAAUUGCCUUUAAAACUGCAUCGCUAGAAUUGUGGAGAGGUAAGUGGAAUUCCGAGUGUAGAGGUGAAAUUCGUAGAUAUUCGGAAGAACACCAGUGGCGAAGGCGACUUACUGGACACAUAUUGACGCUGAGGUGCGAAAGCGUGGGGAGCAAACAGG
rnacentral:rRNA from 1 species